rnacentral:rRNA from 1 species
CAGCCGUAAACUAUGCUCGCUAGGUGUCAGGCAUGGCGCGACCGUGUCUGGUGCCGCAGGGAAGCCGUGAAGCGAGCCACCUGGGAAGUACGGCCGCAAGGCUGAAACUUAAAGGAUUGGCGGGGGAGCACCACAACGGGUGGAGCCUGCGGUUUAAUUGGACUCAACGCCGGGAAGCUCACCGGAUAAGACAGCGGAAUGAUUGCCGGGCUGAAGACUCUGCAUGACUAGCUGAGAGGAGGUGCAUGGCGUAGACGUCU